GUUUAAGGAGUACAGGCUAAAUCCGCCACGUCCUGUGGCAACGCCAGCAUGCCAAUCCUGUGGG
rnacentral:sRNA from 1 species